CCUGGCUCAGGAUGAACGCUAGCGGCAGGCUUAAUACAUGCAAGUCGAGGGGUAGCAUGAUUGUAGCAAUACAAUUGAUGACGACCGGCAAACGGGUGCGGAACACGUACACAACCUUCCUACAAGUGGGGAAUAGCCCAGAGAAAUUUGGAUUAAUGCCCCAUAGUAUUAUUGAAUGGCAUCAUUUGAUAAUUAAAGUUCCAACGGUAUAAGAUGAGCAUGCGUCCCAUUAGUUAGUUGGUAAGGUAACGGCUUACCAAGACAAUGAUGGGUAGGGGUCCUGAGAGGGAGAUCCCCCACACUGGUACUGAGACACGGACCAGACUCCUACGGGAGGCAGCAGUGAGGAAUAUUGGUCAAUGGGCGCAAGCCUGAACCAGCCAUGCCGCGUGCAGGAAGACGGUCCUAUGGAUUGUAAACUGCUUUUAUACAGGAAGAAACCCUCCCACGUGUGGGAGCUUGACGGUACUGUAGGAAUAAGGAUCGGCUAACUCCGUG
rnacentral:rRNA from 1 species